rnacentral:rRNA from 1 species
AUACGUAGGGGGCGAGCGUUGUCCGGAAUGAUCGGGCGUAAAGGGCGCGUAGGCGGCCUGUUAAGUCUGGAGUGAAAGCUCUGGUUUCAAGAUGGGAAUUGCUUUGGAUACUGAUGGGCUUGAGUGUAGGAGAGGUUAUCGGAAUUACCGGUGUAGCGGUGAAAUGCGUAGAGAUCGGGAGGAACACCAGUGGCGAAGGCGGGUCACUGGACUGCAACUGACGCUGAGGCGCGAAAGUGUGGGGAGCAAACAGGAUUAGAUACCCUGGUAGUCCACACUGUAAACGAUGAAUGCUAGGUGUAAGAGGUAUCGACCCCUUUUGUGCCGGAGUUAACACGAUAAGCAUUCCGCCUGGGGAGUACGGCCGCAAGGUUGAAACUCAAAGGAAUUGACGGGG